rnacentral:rRNA from 1 species
ACUCCUACGGGAGGCAGCAGUGGGGAAUAUUGCACAAUGGGCGCAAGCCUGAUGCAGCCAUGCCGCGUGUGUGAANAAGGCCUUCGGGUUGUAAAGCACUUUCAGUCAGGAGGAAAGGUUAGUAGUUAAUACUCUGCUAGCUGUGACUGUUACUGAC